rnacentral:pre_miRNA from 1 species
CCCACACCCAUGUGUGUAGGACCCCAAAGAAUCACCAUUAAAUUUGGUACAGAUCUCUAGAAAAGUGAUCACAUGGGUGUGGGACUUGACUUUUCUAGAGAUUUGUACCAAAUUUAAUGGUGAUUUUUUGGGUCCUACACACAUGGGGUGUGCG